AUGGCUCAGAUUGAACGCUGGCGGCAGGCCUAACACAUGCAAGUCGAGCGGAAACGAUGGAAGCUUGCUUCCAGGCGUCGAGCGGCGGACGGGUGAGUAAUGCAUAGGAAUCUGCCCGGUAGUGGGGGAUAACCUGGGGAAACUCAGGCUAAUACCGCAUACGUCCUACGGGAGAAAGCAGGGGACCUUCGGGCCUUGCGCUAUCGGAUGAGCCUAUGUCGGAUUAGCUGGUUGGUGAGGUAACGGCUCACCAAGGCGACGAUCCGUAGCUGGUCUGAGAGGAUGAUCAGCCACAUCGGGACUGAGACACGGCCCGAACUCCUACGGGAGGCAGCAGUGGGGAAUAUUGGACAAUGGGGGCAACCCUGAUCCAGCCAUGCCGCGUGUGUGAAGAAGGCUUUCGGGUUGUAAAGCACUUUCAGUGGGGAAGAAGGCUUUGCGGUUAAUACCCUCUAAGAAGGACAUCACCCACAGAAGAAGCACCGGCUAACUCCGUGCCAGCAGCCGCGGUAAUACGGAGGGUGCGAGCGUUAAUCGGAAUGACUGGGCGUAAAGCGCGCGUAGGCGGCUUGGUAAGCCGGUUGUGAAAGCCCCGGGCUCAACCUGGGAAUGGCAUCCGGAACUGUCAGGCUAGAGUGCAGGAGAGGAAGGUAGAAUUCCCGGUGUAGCGGUGAAAUGCGUAGAGAUCGGGAGGAAUACCAGUGGCGAAGGCGGCUUCUGGACUGACACUGACGCUGAGGUGCGAAAGCGUGGGUAGCAAACAGGAUUAGAUACCCUGGUAGUCCACGCCGUAAACGAUGUCGACUAGCCGUUGGGGUCCUCGAGACCUUUGUGGCGCAGUUAACGCGAUAAGUCGACCGCCUGGGGAGUACGGCCGCAAGGUUAAAACUCAAUGAAUUGACGG
rnacentral:rRNA from 1 species